CUCUCACCAAGCUUGAAGGGGACACUGGAAAAAAAGAAAGGCAGGGAGGAGUCAGGCAAAGACUGUUGGAGGGAUUUACUUUUCACCUGCCUCUCUGCGGAGGGAGACAGCUGACCCCGGGGCGACCCCGCAGCCAGCAAACAGCCUCACCUGAUAAAGCUGACCCGCAUCCGAGACCUGAGUCAUCAGACCGCCGCGCUCUGAGCAGAGCACCCGACCUCGUCUCCCAUCAUCAUCAUCAUCAUCAUCAGUGAGUACGCUGCGAGAGCACCCGGCCUCAGCGUGGGAAAUUAAGCAUGUGAAUGCACAACAUUUCAGGCUAGAGCGAUCACGGAGCAGAGCAGAGGGAGAAGUAGGAAAGAGGAAGAGGUGUAAUUACCAAAAGGAACGAGAAGAAAAAAAUAACCCCCCCCCCAGCUGACUCAUUUCAUCUGCAGCCGCACUCUAGCAUGGAGGAAAAGCGGCUGCUGAACUUUGAUUAACAGCUCCCAUUUCCUGAUUGCAGAGGUGACUCUCACAAGGACGAUGAAAGUGGAAAAGAGGGAGCGUUAAUCAAGAGGUGUUCAGGUUGAGGAAGCGUGUGACUGAUUGGAACAAAGGAAAUAGGAAUCGUGAGGAGUGUCCUAUCCAUGCAUCCAUCUAGUCUGCUUGUCUGAGACCGUCAGGCCCAAACAAGAAGUGAAAGGGUUAUUCUGCACAGCUACCCCUGGCCUAAAUGAUUGGGUUUGAGUUGGAUUUUAGUCAUUAAAGCUGCAUGGGCUGAGCUAAUAAAGUAAAGU